AAGGGACAAAAAUGGCAUAAGA
rnacentral:miRNA from 1 species